AAGGCAUUAGUAAAUAAUUACACUACUUUGUCAAGGUAGAAUCGUGGGUUAAAGCCCCGCAUGCCUUA
rnacentral:tRNA from 1 species